rfam:Gossypium raimondii Chr05_contig_511, whole genome shotgun sequence.
AUUCCAUUAUGAGAGCAUUUUUAUAAUAACUCCUUAAAUCGUUCCCACACCUCAUACAAGGACUUAUAUCGGAUUGCUAAAACGUAGUAAAUUCAUUUAUGAGUUU